ACCAGACUCCUACGGGAGGCAGCAGUGAGGAAUAUUGGUCAAUGGGCGCGGGCCUGAACCAGCCAAGUCGCGUGAGGGAUGACGGUCCUACGGAUUGUAAACCUCUUUUGCCGGGGAGCAAGCGUGCGUUCGUGAACGCGCGUCGAGAGUACCCGGAGAAAAAGCAUCGGCUAACUCCGUGCCAGCAGCCGCGGUAAUACGGAGGAUGCGAGCGUUAUCCGGAUUUAUUGGGUUUAAAGGGUGCGUAGGCGGGAUGCCAAGUCAGGGGUAAAAAUGCGGUGCUCAACCUCGUCGAGCCGUUGAAACUGGGUGCCUUGAGUGGGCGAGAAGUACGCGGAAUGCGUGGUGUAGCGGUGAAAUGCAUAGAUAUCACGCAGAACUCCGAUUGCGAAGGCAGCGUACCGGCGCCCAACUGACGCUGAAGCACGAAGGCGUGGGGAUCGAACAGGAUUAGAUACCCCUGUAUAU
rnacentral:rRNA from 1 species